UGCGUAGGCGGUCAGUUAAGUCUGAUGUGAAAGCCCUCGGCUCAACUGGGGAAUUGCAUUGGAAACUAGCUGGCUGGAGUACUGGAGAGGGAAGCGGAAUUCCUGGUGUAGCGGUGAAAUGCGUAGAUACCAGGAGGAACACCGGUGGCGAAGGCGGCUUCCUGGCCAAGUACUGACGCUGAGGCACGAAAGCGUGGGAGCAACG
rnacentral:rRNA from 1 species